rnacentral:snRNA from 1 species
UAGAUUCACGCACAAACUCG